GGAUAAUUCACAAGACCUGGCUGGACUGGAUAGGAAGCUCCAAUGAAAUGGUACCACUGGACUGUAUUACCUCAGGGGAUGAAAGCCAGCCCCUUCAUCUGCCAGUGAAAUAACCUACCUCUUACUCAAAUCCAUGAUGAGCCUUAACCCUGCUGUCAUCCUGCUCAC